rnacentral:rRNA from 1 species
GAGUUUGAUUAUGGCUCAGGAUGAACGCUGGCGGCAUGCUUUACACAUGCAAGUUGAACGAAUUAAAGUUUUCGAAUUUUAGUCAAGUAGCGAACGGGUGAGUAAAACGUAAGAAUCUAUUUUUAGGUGAGGAAUAACUAAUGGAAACGUUAGCUAAUACCUUAUAAACUGAGAAGUGAAAAACCAAAGAUUGCCUAAAAGUGAGCUUGCGCCUGAUUAGCUUGUUGGUAAGAUAAUCGCUUACCAAAGCGACGAUCAGUAGUUGAUCUAAGAGGAUAAUCAACCACACUGGGACUGAGAUACGGCCCAGACCUCUACGGAGGGCAGCAGUGAGGAAUUUUCCGCAAUGGGCGAAAGCCUGACGGAGCAAUGCCGCGUGAAGGGUGAAGGCCUAUGGGUCGUAAACUUCUUUUCUUAAUGAAGAAAUAAGACGGUAAUUAAGGAAUAAGCAUCGGCUAACUCCGUGCCAGCAGCCGCGGUAAUACGGAGGAUGCAAGCGUUAUCCGGAAUUAUUGGGCGUAAAGGGUUUGUAGGCUACUUUUUAAGUCUGCUGUUAAAGAAUAAGACUUAACCUUAGAAAAGCAGUAUGAAACUAAAGGGAUAGAGUUCAGUAGGGGUAGAGGGAAUUCUCGGUGUAGUAGUGAAAUGCGUAGAUAUCGAGAGGAACACCAAUAGCGAAAGCACUCUACUAGGCUGUAACUGACGCUAAGAAACGAAAGCUAGGGGAGCCAAUGGGAUUAGAUACCCCAGUAGUCCUAGCUGUAAACGAUGGAUACUAAGUAUUGGAUAAUAAAAAAUUCAGUGCUGUAGCUAACGCGUUAAGUAUCCCGCCUGGGGAGUAUGCCCGCAAGGGUGAAACUCAAAGGAAUUGACGGGGGCCCGCACAAGCGGUGGAGCAUGUGGUUUAAUUCGAUGCACGCGAAAA